AUUUAAAACUAUUAAGUUUUUGAUUGUUCUAUACCUAAUAUUAGGGACAUAAUAACCACAUAUUCAUGUCAAAAGAAGAAAUGCUAAUCCAAUACCUACUAAAUCAUAAGUAGGUGGUUAUGGACAAAUAUAACGUUAUCAUAUAAUACUAGUACACUAGUUAUGUAUGAAAUUAAUCAUACACGGAAGUCUUCUCCUUUCUUAUUUUGGCUAUUGGAACUUCCGAUUUUGCUGGUGAUUAUCUUCUUUUCCUCGCUGGAACUUCUGCUUUGCUUCGUGAUUAUCUUCUUCUCGUUUAGGUCGGUUGCCGCCUUUCUCCUCCAAUGCGGUUCGUUUUUGUUUUCUUUAUAUUCUUCUUUGCUUCUUUGAUAGCUGUAAGCUAGAGGCUUCAUUUUUUCAAUUCUUUCCCACACCAAAGAAAAACAGAUGGGCAAAAGGGGCACACUCGCAUCGGCCAUGGCAACAGAUUGACCUGCAAUUCCAAAGUCCAACCUUCACCAAUGGGGGAACACGAUUUCCGAUUGCCAUGAACCUUCUCCUUCCGAUCACUAUCAGUCAACGUCGCCAUGAUCAAUACCACCACCGCCGCAGCCACCACCACCAACACCGCCUCUCAACCUUCUGCUUCUUCUUCUUCUAACACCGCCGCCCAAUCUCUCGGUCUCAAAAACUUCUUCAAAACUCCUGAAGGCUGGCCUCGCCAAGUCCAUCACCUAGAUAACCUUAGCACACAUCAAGGAUCAACCAGUUCAGGCAGCAACAAACACUCCUCCUUUGCAACCUAACUCAAGCUAUAGUGUUGCAAGCAGUGGAGUGCGAUAUGUGACAUCAAAGUUCUUAGGAAGCAGUGGAAAUGGCAGCCGAAUGCUUGGAUUUGGUGGAGGAAAUGGCACAAGCAGUAAAGCAAAUGGUGGAGCAAGCAAAAGUAGACAUGUGGGAGGAGUACUUACUAAUGGUGUCAACAACUCUACACCUGGUUCCCUAACCAGGUUGUUCAACAGAACAUGAAGUUGGUGCAAUCCCCCGAUGGCAGAAAGUGGCUGUAUGGAGAAGUUCAUGGCAAAAUUUUCAAGUCUGUUUAUUAUUAGAUUUUUUCUCCGAUCUCUAUCUUUAGUCAUUGGUUUCACCAUAUCUGCAAGCAAUUAAAUAUAAUACGUAAACCAUCUCAAAACAUUUUUACUUUUUGGGUUCUUUUCUAGGGUAAAAUACACUAAAUAACAACAUACUUUCAAUGA